UUGAACGCUGGCGGCAGGCCUAACACAUGCAAGUCGAACGGUAACAGGAAGCAGCUUGCUGUUUCGCUGACGAGUGGCGGACGGGUGAGUAAUGUCUGGGAAACUGCCUGAUGGAGGGGGAUAACUACUGGAAACGGUAGCUAAUACCGCAUAACGUCGCAAGACCAAAGAGGGGGACCCUCGGGCCUCUUGCCAUCGGAUGUGCCCAGAUGGGAUUAGCUUGUUGGUGGGGUAACGGCUCACCAAGGCGACGAUCCCUAGCUGGUCUGAGAGGAUGACCAGCCACACGGGAACUGAGACACGGUCCAGACUCCUACGGGAGGCAGCAGUGGGGAAUAUUGCACAAUGGGCGCAAGCCUGAUGCAGCCAUGCCGCGUGUAUGAAGAAGGCCUUCGGGUUGUAAAGUACUUUCAGCGGGGAGGAAGGGAGUAAAGUUAAUACCUUUGCUCAUUGACGUUACCCGCAGAAGAAGCACCGGCUAACUCCGUG
rnacentral:rRNA from 1 species